CGCGUAGGCGGUUUAAUGAGUGUGAUGUGAAAGCCCUGGGCUCAACCUAGGAAGUGCAUCGCAAACGAUUGAACUGGAGUAUAUGAGAGGGUGGUGGAAUUUCCGGUGUAGCAGUGAAAUGCGUAGAGAUCGGAAAGAACGUCGAUGGCGAAGGCAGCCACCUGGCAUAAUACUGACGCUGAGGCGCGAAAGCGUGGGGAUCAAACAGGAUUAGAUACCCUGGUAGUCCACGCUGUAAACGAUGAUAACUAGAUGUUGGUAGGGGAACCUAUCGGUAUCGUAGCUAACGCGAUAAGUUAUCCGCCUGGGAAGUACGGCCGCAAGGUUGAA
rnacentral:rRNA from 1 species